CGGACGGCUCAUUAACACGUGGUUAACAUACCCUCAGGUGGGGGAUAACCUUGGGAAACUGAGGAUAAUACCCCAUAGAAAAAGCAGUCUGGAACGAUUCUUUUUCGAAAGCAUAUGCGCCUGACGAUUGGACUGCGCUCGAUUAGGUAGUUGGUGGGGGAAUGGCCCACCAAGCCUACCAUCGGUACGGGCCUUGAGAGAGGAAGCCCGGAGAUGGGGACUGAUACACGGCCCCAGGCCCUACGGGGCGCAGCAGGCGCGAAACCUCCGCAAUGCACGAAAGUGCGACGGGGGGAUCCCAAGUGCUCAUGCACAGCGUGGGCUUUUAUCAAGUGUAAACAGCUUGAGGAAUAAGGGCUGGGCAAGUUCGGUGCCAGCAGCCGCGGUAACACCGACGGCCCGAGUGGUGGCCACUUUUAUUGGGCCUAAAGCGUCCGUAGCCGGUCCAGUAAGUCCUUGUUUAAAUCCUGCGGCUUAACCGCAGGACUGGCAGGGAUACUGCUGGACUUGGGACCGGGAGAGGACAAGGGUACUUCAGGGGUAGCGGUGAAAUGUGUUGAUCCUUGAAGGACCACCUAUGGCGAAGGCACUUGUCUGGAA
rnacentral:rRNA from 1 species